CCCACAUAGGGAGCAUUUUAACAAGCUCUAGCCAGAGGGAAAUCUUCAAUCCCAGAGGUCAGAACUUGAGUGCCCAUAUACCUUGCCACUGAGGGCCAAGGUGCUGUCAGUCUGUAAGUAAACUUGAAAGGUAGCCUUGGCCAUAAGGACUACAACUCUUAGGUGAGCCCUGGGGCUUAAGUACACCCAGAGACAUUGCACUGGGGAGGGCAUGAGACAUACUGAGAAACCAGCUGGGGCAGCCAAAGGAGUGCUGGUCUCACUCAUUCCUUAACCCAGGUGCACAGGUCAUGGCUCCAAAAGAGACCCCUUUCUUCAGCUUGAGGAGAGGAGAAGAAAAAGUAGGGAGGACUUUGUCUUGCAUCAUACAUACCACCUCAGCCAUAGCAGGAUAGGGCACCAGUCAGAGUCAUGAGAUCUUUGUGGCAGGUCCUUACUCCCAGAUAACAUUUCUGUACACACUCUCGGCCAGAAGAGAACUCACUGCUUUGAAGGAAAGGACUCAGUUCUGCCAGAAAUAAUCAACUGCUAACUGCAUGUUGUGCACAUGUACCCUAAAAUUUAAAGUAUAAUAAAAAAGAAAGAAAAAAUACACUAAAACUAUAAGAAAAAAAGAGAGAGAGAGAGAUUUGAGCCUUAAGGAAGUAUCAACAGUAGUCUGACAGUACUCCUGAUAGCCAGGAGUGGCAGUGCCUAUGGAGUGAAGCUCUUCUGCCUUUGGAAAGAAGAGGGAAGAAUGGGAAGAACUGCAUCUUGUGGUUCCAGUGCCAGUGCAGAGACUUCAUUGAAAAUGAC
rnacentral:lncRNA from 1 species